AGAAGACAAUAUCUGCUAGCGGUGGCUUGAGCUGUUACAAAACACUCCAAACUCCAGACUAUCGACUCGAAUAUACAGAGAUAGGAACCUUCAAGAAUGGAGCUUACACAAAAAGAAGCAAAACAGACAGGUCCAGCUACAGACAGCAAUCAAGAAUUCAAGAUUUCAACAAAGUUCUGUAUAAACUUACCCGAUCUUCAUCAGCUGUGACAUGAACAGGAAUGAAAACCAGAAGAAAACCAAGAGAGAGGAAGCAACUUAGCAAGAACAUAACAGCUUUUUCUUGAGAGACUAAUAAUGGGAAAGGAAGAGAAGGAAAGCUUCUUAUCAUGAUUGGCUCAUUUGACAAAAACAAAGGCUUUAUUAUUAUCUUCUCAUGUGGGUUUGUGUUUGUCUGUACUUUUUUCUGAUUGACAUGCCUCCAUUUUCAAUGCAGGAGUCUGCUAAAAGGAAAGGGGCUCACCACCAAUCACAGUUCGACUCGUGUUUAGAGAAAGGCCCAAGAAACAGAUACUGAUAAUCUUCUCAAACUUAGGCAUUUCAAUUACGCAAAGAGUACUCAAAUCAAGUUGAAAUGGACAGCUUUUAUGUUGAUCUGCUAAGAUCCUGCCCUUAUCAUGAUGGGACAAAGAAGCAAAGUAAGUAGUUGGUUUGUCCUGUCAUUUUUUUCUUGUACAUACUCAAACUAUACCAUUUCAUUAUCAAUACUUCAAGCUUCAUGUGGUUGGGAUCUUACUGUUGAUACCCACAGCCUCUUAUUUUGAA